GCUGGCAGCCAUCUCUCUGCAACUCACAUGAUCGCCCACUAAAGCUAAGCAGGGCUGUGCCCGGUCAGUACCUGGAUAGGAGACCACAUUGGAAAGCCAGGUUGCUGCCGGAA
rnacentral:rRNA from 1 species